rnacentral:rRNA from 1 species
CGGGAGGCAGCAGUGGGGAAUAUUGCACAAUGGGCGCAAGCCUGAUGCAGCAACGCCGCGUGAGUGAUGAAGGCCUUUGGGUCGUAAAACUCUGUCCUAGGGGAAGAAUAAAAUGACGGUACCCUGGGAGGAAGCCCCGGCAAACUACGUGCCAGCAGCCGCGGUAAUACGUAGGGGGCAAGCGUUAUCCGGAAUCACUGGGCGUAAAGGGUGCGUAGGCGGUCCUUCAAGCCAGAGGUAAAAGGCAUUGGCUUAACCAAUGUAAGCCUUUGGAACUGUGGGACUUGAGUGUAGGAGAGGUAAGUGGAAUUCCUAGUGUAGCGGUGAAAUGCGUAGAUAUUAGGAGGAACACCAGUGGCGAAGGCGACUUACUGGACUAUAACUGACGCUGAGGCACGAAAGCGUGGGGAGCAAACAGGAUUAGAUACCCUGGUAGUCCACGCUGUAAACGAUGAUUACUAGGUGUCGGCUGUCAAAGGUCGGUGCCGCAGCUAACGCAUUAAGUAAUCCGCCUGGGGAGUACGCUCGCAAGAGUGAAACUC